ensembl:lncRNA
GUCAUUUACUAUAUGAGUUAAUAUACCUGGGCUAAAGAACAAGAUCAUCAUAGUUCAACAUUUAUCCCAGCAAAAGUAAAUGAACUGGUACAUAAAUAGUGCUUUUCUACUUUAUUUGAGCGCUCAAAGCACUUUCUUAUUUCAAGCCUCAUUCACACAAGUGCUUUUUACCCAACAUUCACACACUCACACACGAGAAUUACAUCAACUGGCCAUAAUUAUCUAUUUGUCCAAUGAGAGUUGAGCUACUUACAUCACUGGACCAUUGGAAUGCAAAGUUUCCGUAUUAGUUUUGUAAACUAAUAUUAGCAGGCAGGAGCCUGACUUUCUCUCAGUAGGCAGUGUUUUGAAAUAAUAUGGUUUGCAGCCAGUUCCUGAGCAAGCACACUGCAACCCUGAACAGGUAAUAAUAAUAAAACAAAGCUCUCUCUUUUUAAUGUUGUUCUGCUAUUCCCACUGAAACACCUCAUUUACUCCAAAUCCUCACAUUUUCUCUACCCGUUCCCCUGUCUUUCUUCUUCCUCCCUCUCUCGCUCAUGGCCCCUUAACUUUUCUUUUUUGAGACAGCGUAUCGAGUUGCUUUCAUCCACGGUUUCUGGUGCAAAGGCGCACGGCGUGCGAGAGGGUAGGGGAAUGCUGCGGGUUCGUUUGACUUUGGGACCUGAAGCGGACGGAGUUUUGGACCCAGAUUACUCUGCGAGGCUCCUGACUACGGUAGCUGUAAUGAUCCGACUAUCCAUCAAGAGAUUUCUUUGUUUGCUUUGGGUCCCUGCUGAAGAUAAAGAUGAUGCGGUCUUAGGGCUCAGAACUCAACAGUGAUGUCCUUCCUUCGGAUCAUGUCUUUAACACUUCAUAGAACUGCCAGGAAGGAUCAUUUUGUCCAAUUCUGCAACAACAGCAGUAAUGGAAGAGACCCCAUUUGUCGGAGAAGUCAAAGUAAGCUUAAUCUAAGUUUUUUUUUUUUAAUUGUAAAUAAGAUUUGAAAAAAAAAGUAUUUAAGAUUUUAGGUGCUUCAUUAAGUUGAUGAUUAGCUUGAUAAUCGACUGAUUUCAUUAUAAAUUGUAAAGUUAAAAUACACUUUAGAAUAAAUUAUAAAUAAUAAGCAAAAGAUACAAC